rnacentral:rRNA from 1 species
ACUCCUACGGGAGGCAGCACGUGGGGAAUUUUGGACAAUGNGGNAAACCCUGAUCCAGCAAUACCGCGUGUGNCAAGAAGGCCUUCGGGUUGUAAAGCACUUUUGUCAGGAANGAANUCCUNUNGGUUAAUACCCUAUGAGAAUGACGGUACCUGAAGAAUAAGCACCGGCUAACUCC